rnacentral:piRNA from 1 species
UCACCUUUUUUUCAAAUUUUC